GUGCCAGCCGCCGCGGUAAUACGGAGGGUGCAAGCGUUACUCGGAAUCACUGGGCGUAAAGCGCGCGCAGGCGGCCUUUUAAGUUGGAUGUGAAAGCCUAUGGCUCAACCAUAGAACUGCAUCCAAAACUAUUAGGCUAGAGUGUGGGAGAGGAAGAUGGAAUUAGUUGUGUAGGGGUAAAAUCCGUAGAGAUAACUAGGAAUACCAAAAGCGAAGGCAAUCUUCUGGAACAUUACUGACGCUGAGGCGCGAAAGCGUGGGGAGCAAACAGGAUUAGAUACCCUGGUAGUCCACGCCCUAAACGAUGAAUGUUAGUCGUCGGGUAGCUAGUCUAUUCGGUGAUGCAGCUAACGCAUUAAACAUUCCGCCUGGGGAGUACGGUCGCAAGAUUAAAACUCAAAGGAAUAGACGGGGACCCGCACAAGUGGUGGAGCAUGUGGUUUAAUUCGAAGAUACGCGAAGAACCUUACCUAGCC
rnacentral:rRNA from 1 species